UAAAAGAAAGAGGAGCCGGUAUCAGGCUCAAUUCGCCCAUGACACCUAGCCCCGCCACACCCCCAAGGGUAUUCAGCAGUGAUCAACAUUGUAAACUAGCGUAAGCUAAAUUCAGUUACCAGCUAAAAAAACCGGUCAAUCUCGUGCCAGCCACCGCGGUUAUACGGGCAGGUUUAAAUUGAUAAGAUCGGCACAAAGCGUGGUUAGACCCCUACCUCAAUAAAGCAAAAAUUAAGCCCGGCUGUAAUAUGCUUACGCUUUUAAUAACUUCAAUCACGAAAGUAGCUUUAACUCUUAUUGAACCCACGAUCGCUAGGGCACAAACUGGGAUUAGAUACCCCACUAUGCCUAGCCCUAAACUUUGACUCAUCCGCCUGGGGACUACGAGCGUCAGCUUAAAACCCAAAAGACUUGGCGGUGCCCUACACCACCUAGAGGAGCCUGUUCUAUAAUCGAUAAUCCCCGAUUCACCUCACCACCUCUUGCCAAUACCGCCUGUAUACCUCCGUCGCCAACUGACCCCUUAAGGGAAUUAGUCGGUUAAAUGGCCUUCUUCCAGUAAGUCAGGUCAAGGUGCAGCGAAUGAGGUGGGAAGAAAUGGGCUACAUUUUCUACUAAUAGACUAUACGAAAGAUCACUAUGAAAUCUGAUUGGAAGGUGGAUUUAGCAGUAAAAAGAGACUAGAGCGCUCUUUUUAAGUUGGCUCUAGGGCGCGCACACACCGCCCGUC
rnacentral:rRNA from 1 species